rnacentral:pre_miRNA from 1 species
UUAACUCAAAUUUGUAUUGAGUUGGAUAAUUUGUGUACGUUUGUCGCUAGGGGCGCUGUUCCAAUUGCAAACAAAUUAGAGUUA